rnacentral:rRNA from 1 species
AGUUUGAUCCUGGCUCAGGAUGAACGCUAGCGACAGGCCUAACACAUGCAAGUCGAGGGGCAGCGGGGCGUGGCAACACGCCGCCGGCGACCGGCGCACGGGUGAGUAACACGUAUGCAACCUGCCCCCAACAGGGGUAUAACCCGGGGAAACCCGGACUAAUACCGCGUAGUCCGAAUGAGGGCAUCCUUUUUCGGGGAAAGCUUUUAGCGGUUGGGGAUGGGCAUGCGGCGCAUUAGCUAGUUGGCGGGGUGACGGCCCACCAAGGCGACGAUGCGUAGGGGUUCUGAGAGGAAGGUCCCCCACACUGGUACUGAGACACGGACCAGACUCCUACGGGAGGCAGCAGUGAGGAAUAUUGGUCAAUGGGCGGGAGCCUGAACCAGCCAAGUCGCGUGAAGGAAGACGGCCCUACGGGUUGUAAACUUCUUUAGCCGGGGAGCAACGGCGCGGACGCGUCCGCGUGUGAGCGUACCCGGAGAAUAAGCAUCGGCUAACUCCGUGCCAGCAGCCGCGGUAAUACGGAGGAUGCGAGCGUUAUCCGGAUUUAUUGGGUUUAAAGGGUGCGCAGGCUGCCUGUCAAGUCAGCGGUAAAAUUGCGGGGCUCAACCCCGUACCGCCGUUGAGACUGACGGGCUGGAGUGCGGUUGAGGCAUGCGGAAUGCGAGGUGUAGCGGUGAAAUGCAUAGAUAUCACGCAGAACUCCGAUUGCGAAGGCAGCAUGCCAAGCCGUUACUGACGCUCAGGCACGAAAGCGUGGGGAUCAAACAGGAUUAGAUACCCUGGUAGUCCACGCAGUAAACGAUGAUGACUAACCGUCGGCGAUACACAGUCGGUGGCCAAGCGAAAGCGAUAAGUCAUCCACCUGGGGAGUACGUUCGCAAGAAUGAAACUCAAAGGAAUUGACGGGGGCCCGCACAAGCGGAGGAACAUGUGGUUUAAUUCGAUGAUACGCGAGGAACCUUACCCGGGCUCGAACGGCAAGUGAAGGAUCAAGAGAUUGUGACGCCCUUCGGGGCACUUGUCGAGGUUCUGCAUGGUUGUCGUCAGCUCGUGUCGUGAGAUGUUGGCUUAAGUGCCAUAACGAGCGCAACCCUUGUCGCCAGUUACCAGCAUGCAAGAUGGGGACUCUGGCGAGACUGCCACCGCAAGGUGUGAGGAAGGCGGGGAUGACGUCAAAUCAGCACGGCCCUUACGUCCGGGGCCACACACGUGUUACAAUGGGGGGCACAGCGAGCGGGGCCAUGGCGACAUGUCCCGAAUCAUGAAAUCCCCUCCCAGUUCGGACUGGAGACUGCAACCCGACUCCACGAAGCCGGAUUCGCUAGUAAUCGCGCAUCAGCCAUGGCGCGGUGAAUACGUUCCCGGGCCUUGCACACACCGCCCGUCA